GAGAGAAAGUGUCACCUUUUAUUUCUCCCCUUCCAGGGAAAGGUUGGGAGUUCAAUUCUUGGCUCUCUAAGCAAUCAAAGAAAAAAAAAAAACAUAAAAAACUAUCUCCCACCUAAAGUCUUUGGGAGUUUCGUGCUGCAUUUUAACGGAUUUAAUUUUUUUUUUUCUUCGAUCGAUUGUAUUUAUUCUUUCCAUUUUGUGUUGUUUUCAGAGGUGCUUUUCUGAAACAAAUGUAUAAAAUUGUUGUUUCCAAGACUGGUGAAGGACUUGUUAAGUUAGAAAAAGUUCAUAAAUCAACAUUUCACAAGAGUGAAACCAAUCAAGAUGAACAGAAAAACCCUUGGACAUUUAACAAGACCAGACUAGACUUCCAGUGUACACGUGCAAGUUAAAUUGUGGAUGUGAGUAAGAUGCUUUUACUAAGAAUAUUUGCAUUAAGUCAUUCUUUAAAAUUUUAAGGUUUGGCUUCGCUAAGAACACCAUCAAAAUUUGGUGAGGUGAAGGAGUGUAACUUAUUUGUGGUAUCUUAGACUGAGAAUUAAUUAAAAGCUCUUCUUUUGGGUGAGUCUUCCAGUCUUUUAGCAAGUGUCUUGCUUAGUAGCUCAUAAACAUUUUUACAUGUUUCAGAUUGGGUAUAAUUGUUGAUUUUGUUUACAGAAAGUGGUUGAGUUUUUUCCUGGGAAAAGAUCAGCCAUUUAGUUGAUCAGUUUUACACAACUUGUAAAUAAGCUCUUAACUGCUGCAGUUAAUUGCAAUCUAAGUAAAUUAACACAGAUGCCAACAUGUUAAAGAUAAUAGGAUUUUUCAGACUAACAUUAAGAAAAAGAAUUGUUUUAUAUAUACUUAAAUGUCUUACGAAAAUAUAUUUCCCAUACAUUGGAGAUAAUUUAAUGUGUGAUUAGCUCUUUCAGUGCCUGGGCUUUCAGGAAUGCAUACACAUACCUACAUUCAACAGAAACCAUUCAGGUGGUUAAAAUUUAAACGUGUGAUUACAUGUUUGUUUUAGUGCCAGUGGUUAGCCAAUAUUUGGAAAUGUGUGGGCUAUUUCUUUAAGACAUGAUAGAGUCAAGUGGUGUUUGGUCCUGACCUAUUUGUAUGCAGAGAAUACAGACAUAUCUUAUUCCUGUGAAUGCAGUAAGUCAUGAAAUGAGUGAUCAUACUGGGCUGCUCACUCCAAAUGUCAAUCCUGUACACAACCAUGCCCCCAGAGUGUUUUUUUAUGCACACAAGCAAGGGUGUUUAAGUGGCCCCUAAUGCUGUGGUGAGCAGUGCAGAACUCACAGUGAGUCAUAUAAAAAGGGGAUCUAAGUAGAAUGCUUAGCUCUCUGUCAAAAGAUUGCCUGUUAGCUUUGGACUAACUGGAGCUGACUGGUCUUGAUCCUGAGUACUGUU
rnacentral:lncRNA from 1 species